rnacentral:rRNA from 1 species
UACUCCGGGGAUAACAGGCUGAUCUCCCCCAAGAGCUCAUAUCGACGGGGAGGUUUGGCACCUCGAUGUCGGCUUAUCGCAACCUGGGGCGGAAGGGCGUCCCAAGGGUUGGGCUGUUCGCCCAUUAAAGCGGUACAUGAGCUGGGUUCAGAACGUCGUGAGACAGUUUGGUCCAUAUCCGGUGUAUGCGUUAGAGUAUUGAGAAGAGCCUUCCUUUGUACGAGAGGACCGGGGAGGACAAACCUCUGGUGUACCAGUUCUUUAAAAGGGAAACGCUGGGUAGCCAUGUUUGGUUUGGAUAACCGCUGAAAGCAUCUAAGUGGGAAGCCAACUUCAAGAUGAGUACUCUCUUUAUAAGACCACAGCAAGACUAGCUGUUUGAUAGGUAUCAAGUGUAAGCCGUGUAAGCGGUGUAGCUGAGAUAUACUAACAGGUCGAACGAGUU